UGUCGUAAUGGUAAUUCAACUAGUACGAGAGGAACCGUUGAUUCAGAUAUUUGGUCUUGGCGCUUGGUUGAGAAGCUAUUGGCGCGGAGCUACCAUCUGUUUGGAAGAUUAUGGCUGAACGCCUCUAAGCCAGAAACCCUGCUAGAAACGACGAUAACAAUUUUCUCAACCUCGAUCUUUGGUAAAUAUAGGAAAGGAUUUAUUUUUUUUUUCUGCUUUUAAUUUUAAAUAGCCUAUGACAAGAAAAAAAAGUU
rnacentral:rRNA from 1 species